CGAGAAAGUAUUAACGCUGAAUUCUUUGUAAACUCUUGUUAUUGCAAAUUGUAGACGGCUGUUAUUGUUGGGCAUAAUUUUCAAACUGGAAUUCAGGAUCACGCAUAGAGAAUUGUUUAAUACUCUGGAAUUUGUUAAGAACAGGUUAAAAUAUAAUCAGAAUGUCUGCUCAACAACCAGCACAGGUCGUAGCCACUCAGCCUACAACAGUAGUAGCUGCAGGAGGGUGCCCAUCAUGCGGGGUUGGACAGGUGUCAGAAAAUUUCACAACUAUAGGUAUAAUCCUGGCCAUCCUGUUCUUUCCUCUAGGAAUAUUGUGCUGCUUGAUGAUGAAGGAGAAGAAAUGUGACAGAUGUGGCGCGAAAUUUUAGAACACAAAAAUAUUAAAUAUAGUGACUAUAACUAAAGCUCUGUAUAUCAAAUGCAAAGUACUUUACACUUUCUCAGUGGAAAAAUAUUGUACUGACACUAAGGUGUACCGAAGGGAACAUAGCAAUGUGCUUGAUUAUAAGAGGGAUAUAUUAGAAAGGAAUAAGCUUUGAAUGUAAUUAUUAUACAGUUUUCAUCAUCUGUAACUUUGUCUAUAUUUAUUCAUGUUAUUAGAUAUAUUACUUCUUACUGUUUAAAAAGUUGCACGCCUCCAGAUUUUUGUAAUUGUGAAUGUAUCUUCACUUGUUAGUCAGUGUAACCAAAAGGUAAUUAUGUAAUUCAGUUCAUUUUAAGGUAAGUAGUAGUGAUUCGAUGAAUUCUAUUAUUGUAACAUAAAGAUGAAUGUCUGAUUCAACGAUUUUUAUUUGUAACUAAAAUGUGAAUGGGGGAUUCAAUGACUUCUGUUCUGAUAGCAUAAAGGUAAAUAUAUGAUUCGAUGAAAUCUAUUACUAUAAGUAUUUAUUAGACACCAGUAUCUGUUAAAACUGUACAACUCUGUGCCUGCCCAUUUCAAGUUGUAACAGAAUUGGACACCAUUUGAUAAAAUCUUAGUUUCCUUGUCAGAUAUUAAUGAAGAGAUAAUAUAUCCAACACAGAGAUUCGUCGUUGAAUUAAGUCAUUGUUAGGUACGAAGGAAUUUUAUCACGUAAGCGCAGCUAAACGACAAUGAUUUUAUUCAAGAGCAAAUCACUUUUUGAGAUGUAGCAUUUCGAUUCUAACACGAUAUCAAUGAUAAUUAUGAUAUAGAUCUACAUCCUUUAAGAUAUCCAUCAAAUAGUUGCCUAUUUUGUCUGGUUUUCUUUUCCAGCGCGCCGCUCUGACGUACAUGUAUAACGCUGUAACGCAAUAAUUGUUACGUACACAUAGUGAAAUUUGAACACACAGUUAAACUAUUCUUUGUUUUAUAGGUAAAUAAACCGAGUCGUGUUAGAAUGUUUAUUUUCCACAUCGGCUGUAUUCAAGUAAAUGGAGUAUCAUGAUUUAUUCCAACAUGGCUCGACUUGCUUGCCAGUUAAACAAAGAAAAAAGUUAAGCUCUGUAUAUUAUGCAACAAAUAACGGUUAACACGCGGACCAGCAAGAGACCAUUAUGACGUCAAUCAUGACAUCAGACUGCCGCUUGACGUCCAGUUGAUUAUUUGUUAAAUAUACCAUCCCACAUCAUACCACCAUUUAUAAAAUACGACGUAAAUAAUCAAUUUUCACCAAAAAUAUUCUGCUUUUCAAUGCAGACACUUUCACAUUUUUUUCACAUUUAUACGCAAUGUUACGGUGGCAUGGAGGGGACAUAGGAAAUAUUUUAUUUAUCACAUGCGCACGUGUUAGCUAACACGUUCGCACGUGAUAAAUAAAAUAUUUCCUAUGCGAACGUGAUAACUAUCGCGUGCGAACGUGAUAAAUAAAAUAUUUCCUAUGCGAACGUGAUACGUGCGAACGUGUUAGCUACCACGUGCGCACGUGAUAGUUAUCACGUGCGCACGUGAUAAAUAAAUUUCCUUUGUCCCCUCUAUGCCACCGUAAUGUUGACAUUUGUUUAAGACACUUUCAUAUAGAUAAAGUAUUUUGGAAAAGAGUAAUUUGUCUUCUUUUAAAACAUUUAACCAUAGAAUAGAGAUAUACAAUAUACGUGACUUAAGAUGAACAGGUGAUUAAAAUGUACUUGCAUAAAAAAUAAAAUUGCCUUUGU